CCUAGUAAGCGCGAGUCAUUAGCUCGCGUUGAUUACGUCCCUGCCCUUUGUACACACCGCCCGUCGCUACUAUCGAUUGAAUGGCUUAGUGAGACUUUCGGAUGCGUUUGGAGCCGCUGGCAACAGCGACACCUUGCGCAGAAGUUAUUCAAACUUGGUCAUUUAGAGGAAGUAAAAGUCGUAACAGGGUUUCCGUAGGUGGACCUGCGGAAGGAUCAUUAAAAAAAAUUUAAUGAAUGGUCGGGGGGGACUUUUUUUGUGCCCUUCGGCUUUAUUCAACCAACCCGCUCUUGUAUUUUGUAUCAAACAAAAAUUUUUAAAAACACUAAUAAAAUAGUAAUGUAAAAAAAACUUUCAACAACGGAUCUCUUGGCUCUCGCAUCGAUGAAGAACGCAGCGAAAUGCGAUAAGUAGUGUGAAUUGCAGAACUUUGUGAACCAUCGAAUCUUUGAACGCAAAUUGCGCCUUUUUCGGAAGGCAUGUCUGUUUGAGGGCACCAUUUAACAAMUAAUGUGCGUGUUGCGUUUUGCGCGGCGUGCACACGUUGAUGAGCUUUCCAAAGAAAAAAAUUUUUUUUUUUUGGUGGCGCAUAAUGAACAGCGUGAAAGCUUUUCUUAAUUCGAGUGUAGUAAAAACGACGCUUGGGUUGUGAGAAGCACAUCGCGCAGUGGGUGUGGCGGUACCCAGCCCCAACGCCACUCUUUCUCACGAAAGAAAAGUUUAAUCAUCAGGGCCUCAAAUCAGACAAGAGCACCCGCUGAACUUAAGCAUAUCAAUAAGCGGAGGAAAAGAAACUAACAAGGAUUCCCCUAGUAACGGCGAGUGAAGCGGGAACAGCUCAAAUUUUAAAUCUGGCUGCUUCGCAGUCCGAGUUGUAGUUUGAAGGAGUCUGUCGCCAGUGCGACGAUGGCACAAGUCCUCUGGAACGUGGCAUCGUAGAGGGUGGGAAUCCCGUCUCUGGUCGUUGUUGCGCUGGCACACGGCAGGCAUCCGAAGAGUCGAGUUGUUUGGGAUUGCAGCUCCAAAUGGGUGGUAAACUCCAUCUAAGGCUAAAUAUUGGCGAGAGACCGAUAGCGAACAAGUACCGUGAGGGAAAGAUGAAAAGAACUUUGAAAAGAGAGUAAAACAGUACGUGAAAUUGUUGAAAGGGAAACGCUUGAAGUCAGUCGUGCCGGCGGUGAUUCAGCUCGCUUCGCGGAGCGGGCGUAUUUCCUCGCAUGGCAGGUCAGCGUCAGUUUCGCGCGUCGUGAAAGGGCUCGGGUAAGGUGACUCUCUCCGGGGAGUGUUAUAGACCUGAGCAGAUGCGCUGCGCGGGACUGAGGAUUGCAGCGGACACCCUUCGGGGCGCGGCGACCGACCCCUGCUUCAUCACCCUUGUCCGAUAGCGUGCUAACGGGCCGGGGAGCGGUGGGCGCACCGGGUUGGCAAGCCGGCGGCUCCGCUAAGGGCGCUGACGUAAUGGCUUUAAACGACCCGUCUUGAAACACGGACCAAGGA
rnacentral:rRNA from 1 species